UACAACUAAACCGCCCUAACCGCAAUUUUCCCAACCAGAACCAAACGACCCCCUUUAUGUCAUCUCCUCUCUCCCCUUCAACCAAAAGAAAACCCUAACAUCACCAUCACCCCCACCACACCUAUCGGACCAGCGAGCAAAGUCGAUUUCAGCGUCGCUGACACCACCUGUCACCAAUUUGUCCCUUUCUCCCCUUUUCGUCAAGUGACAGAGCUUCUAACAGCUCAUCCAAGUCAAAUCAUCCCCCAAAUCGAAAAGCACACAAGGAUCUUUGGGUUUCUAAGCCAAUCUUCCAACAAUCCCCUGGGCAAAGGAUCGUUUCAUCCGUUGGAGCCUAAAACCAUGAAGAAUCCACUAGAUUCGGAGUCCCAACGAAUCUAUAGCUUUCAAAUCCAUCUGAAAAGCUGUCUAAAAAUCUUCUUUCAAGUUCUCGGCUAAACAACAAACUACUUCGAGCGGAUUCGAGGACUCAACGACGACAAUAGCCUCAGUUCAUUGUCCCGGACAAGGUCAGUAAUCAACUUCACUUUCCCUAUCAUUUCAGUUGUUAGAUAAAUGUAAUUGCUUGAGCGUUUUUGCCUCUCAUUUGGUUUUCUGUUUUAAAAUGUAUUUUGUAUCCGUAAUUGCUUGUCUAAUUUUCUAUUUGAGGUGUGUCGAACCUGGUUUUUGUUGUUCUUGUUUGAUGAAAUCAGUAUGUAGAAGUUAAAACGAAAUAAGGACACUUUGAAGAAUUGUUGAAUCAAUAAUAUAUGUUUAACUAUGUCGCUUGGCUAACAUUUUGUUCCUAGUACUCUUGUUUUGCCAUCCUUAGGAUGUACUGUGCUGAUAAAUGAAUUGGCGCAUAAGAAAUCCAUAAAGAUAAAACUACAAAUCAUGAUAAUCUAGGCUAUCUGUUUUCUUGAAAAAUACAUGGGAUAAUAUUAAGUACCAUAUCGGUUUUGAGUUGGAAAAUGCCGUCUAAAAUCUGACCUGGUUACUUUGGCUAAAAAUCUUCAUUCCGGAUUAGUUUAUCUAAGAUUUCAAUGUUUGCUAAGGAUAUAUUCAUGACUAAGUUACUAGUGUAGAUUUUUUUUAGAACUAGCAAAUGCUUAGGACAGUAAAAUGGUUGUGCAUUGGUUAAGUUUGGGAAGAACUCAUCUUAAGUUGAUAUUGUGCUAUGUUAGAAUGUAAAAAUGAGAUUCUGAUGUGAACUUUGAACAAUUUAUGUUAAAUAUGUAACCACACUCGUCUCCUCUUUGUCUUUAAUUAUGUAGAUAUCAAAAUGUAGUCGUUUUGUUGUUCUUAGCAUUUGUUGAAGUUUGCUUGUUUGAAUCUGCCUACACUUUAUUUGCUAUAAACAAGCAUGAAAUAGUUGUGGCGACAUAUUGACAUUUAAAGAAAAUGAUAGUUUAGCUUGCUGAAUACAUAAAUAGUAGUGUCGUUUGUCUAAAAUCUGUUUGUGGCAUCCCUUAAGGGACUGUUUUACAAUGUAAAAUCAGCAUGUAAAAUGGCUAAAAUAAA